GUAAAUAUAGUUUAAACAAAACAUUAGAUUGUGAAUCUAACAAUAGAAGAUAGUAUCCUCUUAUUUACC
rnacentral:tRNA from 1 species